CAGGAGAAGACAGCUGAUUAAGGAAUUUAAGCAGUAGCAUUGGCUACAGAAUUUCUACUGUUGUUGAUGCACAUCUGGAAUAAGCAGUACUGACCCCCAUUUUAACACACUUUAAAUAUUUAGUAUUGUUUUAUAAGACCUUCACUUAUCAUUAAAUCAUCAAAUUGCUGCCUGUUUCGAUUGGCAGCCAGCGUGGAAAAUGAUCACAAGAAUAUUUCCUACUAAAAGACGCUAAAACCCAUUGCACUACAGGCAUGCAGGUGACCUAAAAUCGCCCCACUCUGUUUAGCUCAGCAGCUGCCAAUAUUAUGGCAUCAACCACUGGCCACACUUGGCUUACAGUUCCAUUUCAACCCUUAUUAAUGAAACCUGCUUCAUUACAUUAAAAGACACAAUGUUGAUACAUGGACCAGACUGGUAAUUGAUAAUUUAAAUACAAAAAUGGCAUAAAGCUUCUGAAACUUCUCUGGCAAACUUAAGAUCUGCAGAUCUGCAGAUCAUCACUUUUGACCUGAGUUUGCAGAAGUAACUUUUAAGGGUGCAGCAGACCAUGUUUGUUAAAGAAAUCUUUAAGCACAGAAAUAUGGUUCCCUGCAAAUACUCCUGACAUCAUCUGCACCCAGAAGAUGUGAUAAAAGUUUAAUGAUAUCAAAUGACUCAGGACCACAGGUGGGCAAACUGCUGCCCACAGAUGAAAUCCAGUCUGCAGUUGUAUGGCCUAUAAGGUAAGAAAGAUUUUUACAUUUUAAAGGCAUUGUUUUGGCAUACAAAAAGGAAGAAGACGAAUAUGUAACAUGUGUAAUGGCCUACAAGACCUCAGGUGUUCUCUCUGGUUUUGGGGAUUGUUUCCCACUCUCUAGACCUUUAGCAAGUGUGGAAGGAUGGUAGUUCUUCCCACUGCACAUCUCUGCAGGGUGAGUCCAGUGUGAAUUUGUCAGAAUGAAAAUACUUUAUACAUUUAAGACAUUGCUCACUUCUUUGUUGAAUGUCGUCAUAGGAUUCAUGUUUAAACAGUUUGGCUGUAAAUUAUUUCUUCCUAUCAGUCUUACUACUACUGCAAAGUGCUUAAACCUUUGGGGACAAUUACAUGAUUUUGUUUUCAUUAUAAAGGGAAUUCCAUUCCCUACUGUAAAGUCCAAAAAUGCUAGUGGCUUCAUUCAGCUUUUGAGUUGUCUUCCAGAAGCUGCGAUCAUUUGACCGUUUUCUUUUCUCAUGCCAUAUAAAGUGUGUCAUGGGGGAAUUGUCAAGGAACUAAUAAGCUAUCGUGGUCACGUGCACUUCUUACUUUCUAAAAAGAGACGUUUGAAAUCCUUCCCACAAUUAGACCUUGUUUCUUUUGACUCCUUUAGAGAUAAAUUGCUUAAUACCAAUUAAUAAGUGAAUCAUUUUAAGAAGUAGAUACCAUCAAUUUCUGUCUAAUGUACUGACAAGGUAUUGUUUACUAUGAAGCAUUUCCAUGCUUUUGAUACUUCUGAGUUAUUUAUCAUUGUGACUCUUAGAUAAACUUUUCAAGCUAAUGUAGGGUUUCCCGGUUUCAUUUUAGUAUAGAAAUUUACUAGCAAUUACUUUACUAAACAUAGGUUGUCCUGAAUCUAUACAAGGAACUAACAAUUUUCAUAGAUCUCAGAACUUGCUUAUUCACUUUUUCUGUUUGACUUGCCAAUGCCACAGUUAUUUUAAUAGAAGACUAGAAUUUGAAUUUUUGUCUGACCUGCUAUAAUUUAGCUAUAUUCAGCAUUCAUUACCUCUCUGUAGGUGAAAGUAUUAAAUGCUACUGUUUUGAAUAAGGCUUCUGGUAAUGUGUUAUCCCUGGUUUAUAUUUAAUGUAUCUGUACAUUUAUAUAAAGGCAGAGCCAUGUGUGUAGUUGUACAGUUUGUGCACUGUACAACGGUACCCAUCUGGGUAAGGGGAUUAGUAGCAGCCGAAAUCCAACUUGUGCUCAACUUGUCACCAAUAUGUGCCUCAGUAGGGUUUAUCUCACAACACACCUUUUUCCAGUUUCUGAGUGAAGGGAGCUGAAUUCUGCUGGAACUUUAGCAGUGACCAAAGUACCAUCGAUAAGAUGUAAAACAAAAACUAGUAUUUCCUGCAACUCACCUGAUUUUCCAAACAACAGCUUUCCAAAUAUUAGCUUUCUUAGCCAAGCCUGCUGGAUUUAACAGUUCAAGUCACUGCCAACCAUAUGGCGUUCUUCAACCAGUCCUUCCUUCGUGUGUCUCCAGAUAGAUGCUGGCAAGAGAUGAACCAGGACCUUGGUCUGAAAGAACAUGAUUCGGACCAUGCUUUGUAAAAGGGAUAACAGAAUAGUCAAGGUUAAGUUAAGAUUGCUUCAAUUCCACCUCUAAAGGGUACACAGUUUUCUAAAGCCACCCUGCCACACACCACCCCACCUUCAAGCAUCAUCAUUUAAUUUGGUGUAUUUCUGUUGAACUCACUCUGCGCUCAGUGCUGGCAUGUCUGAGAUGUUUCUCUCUCUCCCUCCUCCCUAUUUGCUUCAGCCCCAGACGAGGAUGCAAAAUGGAUCUACCUGGAUGAGAGAAAAGUCAGGACACACCUCACUUGGUAGGGUGGCCUCAUCCCAAAAUAGGGCUUGAUUCUCAAAGAACAAUGUGGAGAAAGCAUAAAAAGAGAAAGAAAAGGAGUUCUCUUGUGGACCUCAGCAGGUUAGGGAUCCAGCUUUGUCACCUCGGCUGCUCAGGCUGCUGCUGUGGCUCAGAUUCGAUCCUUGGCCUGAGAACUUCCAUGUGCACCAGGUGCAGCCCAAAAAAGAGGGAGAGGAUUCAUUUACUGGACCCUAGUAUAUGAGGACCAUGUAGCACUGUGCCAUCCAUUCAGUACACUUUGGAAAGGUGUGUUAAGUGCUAAGAGUACAGUGGAGACACCUGCCCAUGACACUUCCAAUCUGGUGUCUUACAAGCCCUUGUGCCAGUUACAUUUGGGAUGGGUGUCAUGGAGGAAGGGUGUAGGGAGCUCUGGGGGCGCGCACUAGGGAACAUCCCUGAAGAUGAACAUGAAAAGCUGAAGGGUAAGCAGAAUGAGGAAAGGAAGAAGGCUGGUUAUCGCAGAGAACAAGAGGUGCGUAUCUGGAGAGAUGAACAGGAUUAAGUCACGAACGGCUUUGAAAGCCAUGCUAAGAACUUGACUUUGGAAAGCUCUUGAAAGGGGAAUGGACUAAGGGGAGUCAGUGCGGAUGUGGCAACACCAGGCAGAAGAAUGUAGGAAUCCAAGCAGGAGACAGUGGUGCACAGAGGCACUGGAGAUAGAACAUCAAAUAUAUUUGAGUUCCACGGAAACAAGCAGGUUUGCGGGGGAGUUAUCAUCAAGAAAGUUUGAGAUGUGUUGGGCUGGAAGUCUAUGUGAGAUAGUUAUCCUGGUGGAAGCUUGAGGAUAGUAAAAGAAAAAAAACAAAACAAC
rnacentral:lncRNA from 1 species